GGCCUUACCCAGACAGCACACGUACGUCUGCCCAACGUCGGCUCAAGAGCGUACGUCGGCCUCCUUAUUUGAAAUAUCUAAUAAGUAUCGGCCAGGCAUCUGCCAAAUCUUCAGUCAAGUCAACGGUAUUUCCCGCUCAUCAGGCUUGUCUGUUACUUCGGCUUUGGGUCGGAUAACUAUACCGGAGGCCGAUGCCGCGCUUCUCCCUGUUGGUGCGUGCCCAGUUAUUCCACCCUUUGCAACCACCAGAGCAAAGGCGACAGUGUAAGUAUGUACAAGAACUAAGUAAAUGAUAAUAAGUGAAGAAAAAUGGAAUCCGUUAAGUAAAUGUAAAUGUUUUAAUAUAAUAUACAAGUAAAAGAAAUAAAAUAGCAGCGCCUUCUUUGCUUUUAAUGACACACAGCUGCUAAGUUCCAUUAUUCCGAAGCAGAAGGGGGCAGUAAUGUACAUACGCUGGUUGCCAGCCGCCGUUAAUACUCAAGCAAGUUAGAGGAAAUGCAACUGGGGAAAGUGAGGAAAAAUAAGGAAUUAUUGGCUUGUUUUACACGUAUCAUUGUUUUGUGUUCCCCUCCUUCAUAAAAAAACCAAACAAUUCCACGUCAACUCGAACACGCAAAACCCCGGUAUGAAGCAUUGUCAUGAGCAUGCCAAACCAACAGAUGGCGAUAUAUUCCUUAACCCAGAGAAGCCACUCCAGUCUCGUCUUGCCAUGAACAAGGAAAAAGUGCGGGAGCUGACUUCGCAAACGUCCGUGGUUCAGGUCAUUGGCACUGCUGUGUAAGUAUUUCACUGACAGACACCUCAAGACAUUUUAGUGGGUGUAACUGGAAAUCUUUUAUGUAAAUCUGUAAUAUUCAAUUGUUAUGUUUUAUGUCUUUGCAAAACAGAUCACAACAUCAUUUGCUGUAAGUUGUUUUUUACCAGCUGUUACAGACAUUUUUAUUAUUUGACUUUAACCCUAAGUGUUUUUGAUCUUAACCAUACUGUCAUAUUAGUUUUAUCGGAGAAAGGACAUGCCACCUCUAAGCCAUCUGUUUCUCUGUGCAGGACAUGUACAUCUAGGAUGCGGCCUAUCCAGAUGAGAUUCUCUCCAAUGCCAGCAAACCGACAGUGAAGACACGAGCCAGCACUUCUCCCCCCACAUUGCCUCAGGCUUUUGAGAUAACCACUUAUAACUGCUUCUCCCCCCUUCAUGAGACCGGAUGCUAUGUUGGGAUCACCGGGGCCUCCAUCGCCCGGCAUUUACACGCUACAUCAGGUGUAGGUGAACAACAUCAGAGUGCGGCAGUCAGAGAUCCUAAAGAAGGACUCCAUAUGUUUUGUCAAAACAGUACGCCGUACAUCUCUUAUGACGAGGAUAUUUGUGUCAGGACCGCUUUCCCGAUACUGACAAGGACAUUUAAGAUUCAAUGGACAACUUGCUUUCAAUGAAUGUAAUUAUGUGAGCUGCAGUCUGGAUCCUGCCUCUGUCAGAUGACCUAACACAAAUGGAAAGAUGACAUCGGCCCUUGCAAGGACUUCAGACGAUGCCAGCACUGGACUACAUACAGUGGUAAUCAUGGGUGCCCAAACUUGUGCAUGUCACUGUACUGAUAUAUACUAUACAAAUAAUAUUUUCAGUAGUCCGUGUCAAAUUUUAUUUCAAGUGUUUGGGUGAGAUCUAGACAGAGAACUAAGGCGUAUACUAGGACAGAACUAAGUGUUGUGGCCCACAGGUGAUCCUAAAGCAACAAAAGAGGAACAAUGGAGAGGAAGAAGUGGUGUCCAGAUGUUUAAAAGGCGGCGUUCGGGACAGGAAACAAAGGCAACAAAGAAGACCUCUAAGGUUUAAAGGCGCUGCUUGCAGAGACAAGUGUAGGAAACAAAGACCGAAGACCUGACGAGAAUGUUUUAUGAUUAAAUGUUUUUGUUAUGUACAUGAACAUUAUUAUUAUUAUUUACAAAAUAUUUCUAAGAUACAUAAAUAUGUGACCUUGUAUAUGAAAUCCAGUCGCACAUGUGCAACCAGUAAAUUUGACCUUAUUUUCCAAAAGUGCACAAUAAAAUGUGACGCUGAAUUUGAAACAGCACAUUGUAUUUUCUGCAUCUAUCAUCAAGUAUUUAUUAGUAAUACAGUGGAAAUUAGAAGAAAUGUGAAUAUUUUGUUAGCAUGUUGAUUUACGGUGUGUGCCCCUAAAUUUUCUGGUUGCGCCCCUAAAAUUUUCAGUUGGGGGCCACGGUGCUCCUAGUGAAAAAAGUUAGUCUGGAGCCCUGAUCUAAUGACAUCUAAAGUUUGAAUUUACUGAUUUAACAUUGAGUUCAGUCUUUGGCAUGACCUUACUCAGUCAGUAUUGAAGAUGUCAAGAUUAUAUUUUCAGAGAAUGUUUUCUGUAUUGUGUAGGAUGAUUUUAUGUAGAAAACAGUAAGUCACAAAGAAAUACUUUGCUGGGUUUUCACAGGCUGUGUCCCAUUUGUACAACAUAUGUGAAUUAUCUUGAGACUAAAACUUCUGAAAUCCAAACUGUUAUAUUUUAGCAUUUCAAAUGCAGCCACCUUUUGCCUAGAAUUUGAAAUAUAUACCCUUGGUUUUUUUCAGUAAUUUUUUGAGAUCUCACCCUGAGAUAUUUUUAAAGAAAUUUCCAUGUAUUAUGAGCUUGAAUUACUUGUUUAUUUUAUCAUUUUGUCCAAGUAAUUUGAAAAAAAAAAGUUUUAAUUUAAAUUUUAGUUCUCAAUUGAAAUAAAUGUAUAUGUUGAGACUAUUUUUGUCCACAAACGUAAUUGAAUCAUAUACCUUAAGAGUAAAUUAUUUUGAAGGGUAUAAGAAAUAUUUUAGUUAAGUGUUUAAAAACGUUUACACAGUAGUAUAGCAGUAUAUAAUAGUUACAGA